rnacentral:rRNA from 1 species
UGGGGAAUUUUUCGCAAUGGGGGAAACCCUGACGAAGCAACGCCGCGUGGAGGAUGAAGGCCUUCGGGUCGUAAACUCCUGUCGACCGGGACGAACGCUAUUGGGCCCAAUACGCCCGAUAGUCGACUGUACCGGUGGAGGAAGCCACGGCUAACUCUGUGCCAGCAGCCGCGGUAAUACAGAGGUGGCAAGCGUUGUUCGGAAUUACUGGGCGUAAAGGGCGCGUAGGCGGUCCUGUCAGUCCCUUGUGAAAUCCCCCGGCUCAACUGGGGAACUGCAAGGGAUACAGCAGGGCUUGAGUUCGGGAGAGGGAAGCGGAAUUCCGGGUGUAGCGGUGAAAUGCGUAGAUAUCCGGAGGAACACCGGUGGCGAAGGCGGCUUCCUGGACCGAUACUGACGCUGAGGCGCGAAAGCUAGGGGAGCAAACGGGAUUAGAUACCCGUGUAGUCCCUGAGCGGGCUGGCAAGGCGCAU